rnacentral:sRNA from 1 species
AGUGAAAGACUCAAUGCCUCCUGACCGAGGCUUCAGGCCUGCCCCGGCAGCUAGGUACCUCUCCAGGGGAUGGAACUCUGUGGGAACUGCUAUUUAAUUCUGAUGGUUAACUCUGUCAGAUGGCCUUGAUAUAUGGGAAUAAUCGUUGCAGGAGGGUAGGGGAAAUAAGAAUCGCAAGACUCUAGCACAGGACGUGUGGAUUGAUGGAAACCUGAAACUGCCAUUGAGCAGAAGGAAAACAUCCCUUUCCAGAACCUUUCUCGUUUUUCUAAAAAUCUGCACUUUUGGAAGUGAUCCCCCAAAGAGACCUCCAGACUCUACCAUGAGUGUCUCCAGCUGAACUCAUCGUGUCUAAUCCUCACCCUAGCUUAUCCUGUUCAAAUCAUUUCCAUCUUUUUCUGGAUGAACCUGGGCGGAUGUCAGACCAGAGAAGAGCACAGAAUGUACCAGAGAGGAAACCAGCCCUAACAACUCUGAGGCAAGAAGAGGCUUCAGGACUGGAUAUGGGACUUAGGUGACAGAAAGUCUCCUACCUCUUCAAAAGCGCAAACAUACUUUAUUUCUGUUAAAGAGAAAAAUGUAACACAGUUGUUAAGAUGGUAAAGCAGACUUCAUUCAGCAUUAUUGCCAUAGGUGUACUUUGCAGUAGAGGAUUGAGAUUGGGAUCAGCUCCUAAUACAAGGAAAAUAAGGGAUUUACAGCCAAAGACUGAGAGGUAGGGAUGGAACGUGGGGCAGGACAGGGGUUAGUGAAUGGAAAAUUACUAAAAGGAUACGUUAAUUUUUUCUAAAGUGACCUAACAGUAUUCUUGCUAUAGGCAGACCAGGGUGAUCAGAUAUCAAUUGGAGAAUAAGGAAUGUGGUCAGAUAUCGAGGGCGAAUCAGAUAUUGAAGAUAGGGGAUGCUGGCUAAAACUGGGCUCUUGAGGCAAUGUCCAAGGUCCAAGCAUAGGUGGGAAAGGGGUGAGGAGACUGUGUCUAGGGUUUGGUCAA